GGGACACGUGGUAUCCUGUCUGAAUAUGGGGGGACCAUCCUCCAAGGCUAAAUACUCCUGACUGACCGAUAGUGAACCAGUACCGUGAGGGAAAGGCGAAAAGAACCCCGGCGAGGGGAGUGAAAAAGAACCUGAAACCGUGUACGUACAAGCAGUGGGAGCACCCUUUGGGGUGUGACUGCGUACCUUUUGUAUAAUGGGUCAGCGACUUAU
rnacentral:rRNA from 1 species